rnacentral:rRNA from 1 species
CUACGGGCUGCAGCAGUGAGGAAUUUUGCGCAAUGGGGGAAACCCUGACGCAGCAACGCCGCGUGAGCGAAGAAGGCCCUCGGGUCGUAAAGCUCUGUCAAGUGGGAAAAAAAUUUUUUGAUCAAUAGUCAAAAGACUUGAUGGUACCACUGGAGGAAGCACCGGCUAAGUCCGUGCCAGCAGCCGCGGUAAUACGGAGGGUGCGAGCGUUGUUCGGAUUUACUGGGCGUAAAGAGCGUGUAGGCGGUUUAGCAAGUCAGAUGUGAAAGCCCUGGGCUCAACCCGGGAAGUGCAUUUGAAACUGCUUCACUAGAGUAUGGGAGAGGAGAUUGGAAUUCCUGGUGUAGAGGUGAAAUUCGUAGAUAUCAGGAGGAACACCCGUGGCGAAGGCGAUUCUCUGGACCAAUACUGACGCUGAGACGCGAAAGCGUGGGGAGCAAACAGGAUUAGAUACCCCGGUAGUC